GAGUGCCUGCGAGGAGCACCAGGCCUUCUCCUCGAGUUCAUCGUCCCUCCUGCUCUGCCUGCAGCCCAUCUCAGCUCCUCCUUCUCCGUUCCCCACUGUGGGCAUGUUCGCUCCCCAAUGGCGUGUCGGCUCCAGGAGCCGUGUCCCCAGAGUGUCACGGGUGUGCCCCAGCACCUAGCACAGAGGAGUGCUGCCCGGAGGAAGAACUCAGUCAGCAUUUGUGGGAUGACGGCAUAAAUACCUGCAGACAGGUGUGCGUCCGCCUCUGAACAGCUCCACCAUCUGCCAGGUUACUCCAGCUGGACAUCUGGGCACAGUCUCUCACUCCUCCACCUCCCUCACCGUGCCCAGGCAGGGCCGUCCCUCCUGUGCAGGUCACGCCAUCCUCCCGCGUGGCUCCCUGCAGCGCCCUGGCCUCCACUCUCCAGACUGGGCUUCAAAGCCAGAAUGCGCUGGUUCAUCUUGACCCAACCUGCUGGAAGAUGGGCACAUGAGACGGUUUACCAACAGUUGCCUUUUCUCCCAGUGAUUUCCUUUUUAGAAUGCAAAUUCAAACUGAGUCAAGCUGCCAAGAUCACGUUUCAGGUCCAGGGAAUUCUUCCCACAGCCAAUGCUGCCUGAUGGACCUGCAGUGUUUCCCUGACUGCUGCUUCUGUUACUGCAGAGCAAGAAAAGUCGUCCAGGUUUCAUUUGCUAUGUUUAUGGCAAUAGAAAUAAAUCUCAGCAGUCACGGAGAAGCAUGCUCACACCCGCGAAGCCGUAGGGGACUCCGGCUGGGUGCAUCCCCGGCGGGCGGGCAGAGCAGGCGGGCGGGCAGAGCAGAUCCGGGGUGAGAUACACUUUGGCCUUAUUGAUCACAAAGCUUCUUCAUUACUUCUGUGGAGCUACAGAUCAAUAGACAGGCCCACAGAAACAUAAUAGAUUUUUUUUGUUUUAGAAAAUCAAUUAAACAGAAUAUUUUUUAAAGAAUUGAGUUUGCAUGGCUGUUGUCUUUGGGCUCAGUUUAACGCCUUUCAUGCAGUUUCUUUCUAAGGGCUGCCUUUUGAUGACCAAGUACAAAGCCUUGUCUAAAAGAUCGUAUUUAAAAGAUCAUGUUUGAAAGAAGAGUGGAUUCUCUGGGAAAAGCAGAGACACCUGGUUCAGCACCGAAACCCUGGCUUGACGCUACAGCCUUGCUAGAAAGUGGCAUUGGCCCCAUCUCUGCACGUCGUCUUGUAGGCAAAAUCUGUCAGUGUGCCUCCUUUCAGGCUAAAAACGUGGAACCGAAACUUCUUAGAAAGCUCAGAUUGAUGUCUAAAUUUCCCCAUUCUGAAAGCAGAAGGAAGCCCAGGAGGCAUAAAGGUAAAAUACGGUCAGGCCGGGGCUGCCCAGAUGGGCCAGCAGGCUACACACUCAGCUCCCCCAAGGACACAGAGGAGCAGCUGGAGGCUCAGGGACGCUGAGCUCAGGCUUUGGAACAAGUUGGGAGGCAGUCAAAGCCCGGGGUCCCCGGCAACUGGCCACACACAUUUGGGCUCUUUUAGUUCACAGAUAACACAAGAAAAUUGCCACCUUGCAGGAGAGAGCGGGUGUAGGUCUGGACUGCAUGCCACUUGUAGGCAUGCCGGAGCUCCCCAAAUCCUGGUCCUCAGCAGGCCGGGGAGGACACCAACCAUGCUCCCUUCUCUUCAGUCUUCUUGCCACUUUCUUCCUGUCUGGCAUGAUCCUGGAUGACAUCA
rnacentral:lncRNA from 1 species